rnacentral:rRNA from 1 species
GAAGAACGGGCGGCGGUAAGAGCGGCCACGCUGCCGUCGUCGUCGCCUUCCUCCUCGAUUCCUCGUCGUGCUUGCUCGCGAUCCAUUCUACAGGGAGGCGAAACCCUCUGCGCGCCAUGGGCGACCACUACGGUACGCUCGGGGUGCGGCCCGACGCUACCAAGGCCGAGGUCAAGGCCGCCUUCCGCCGCCGCGCCCUGCGCGACCACCCCGACCGCCACGCUCAAUCCGGCGACGCCGGUGCCCGAGCCGAAGCCGCGCGGCGCUUCCGCCAGGCCUCUGACGCCUACCACGUCCUCUCCGACGACCGAAGGAGGGCCGAGUACGACCUCCGUCUCCGCUCUUCCUCCUAUGUCCGCACAUCCUCCUCCACCUGGGCCUCCUCCUCGGGUUCGCACGGCUACGGCUACGGGCACAGAGAAAGUUCUUGGCGGCGGCCGCCUCCGGGAGGCGGAGGCGCAUCGGUGGGAUACGAUUGGGGCUUGUUGCUGAAGGCGAUGACGCGGCGAAGGUUCCUUCUCAAUCUCGGCUUCUCCAGAAAUCAUUUGAAGAAGCAAUGGAGUCGAUUGAGAAGGUAAAAGGGGGAAAGGGGAAUAGGUAGAGAAGUAGGUAAGUUCCAUCAAAUUGUGGUACACUGGUACAUAGACAAACGAGUGUGCAUGUUGUUGUUCAGAUACUUCUGUACAGUCGGAAUAAUAUUUGUGACAAAGUGACAACUGAUUACCUGAUCAGCGUAGCUGUGGAUGAUUGUGAUGUGCAUCUAUGCCUAAGGUUCUUCCAGUGCAAAGAUUCAAACAAGUUGUCUUUUAACCUCCUCUAAUCAUGUUUUGUUUCCUCAGAAUCUGCAAGUAAUUGCAUUGUGUAGUGUAAUGGUACAGACCGAAUUUGGACCGCCGAUCGUCUGGAGAAGCGUGGUUGGGUCAAUUGUGGUCUUUGUCCACUAUGCAACAGAGAGCAAGAAACGGGGCCACACCUCUUCUUCAAGUGUCGUUACACUCUUAGGCUUUGGAGAUCUAUCAUUGAGAAGCUUGGGCUACAUCACGUCAACAUUCCCGAUUGGCAUCUUGAUGAAUCCGUCAAGGAGUGGUGGGUCAAGCGUACCGAUGACCGAAACCCGAAUUGGCAUGCCAUGUCCUCUCUCGUCAUGCUCACCUCUUGGACCAUUUGGAACGAGCGAAAUGCUAGGGUAUUUCGGCAAAAAUCUGCGCCACCGCCUAUUCUCCUCCAAACCAUCAUUGGUGAGGCAAAGUUAUGGGUUACUGCCGGCGCCAAGAAGCUAGGGACUAUCAUUGUGUGUGAGUAAUUGUCAUGUCGCUUGUAUGGGGUGUCCUGUAAAAAUCUAAACUCU